UUACGGCUAUAUCACGUUGAAACACCGGUUCUCGUACAAUCACCGAAGUUAAGUAACGUCGAGGAUGGUCAGUACCUAGAUGGGUGACUGCUUAGGAAUACUGGGCGCUGUAAG